rnacentral:rRNA from 1 species
UUGAGCGGAGAUAUAUGGAGCUUGCUUUAUAUAACUUAGCAGCGAACGGGUGAGUAACACGUAGAUAAUCUAUCCUAUACUGGGGGAUAGCCCGAUGAAAGUUGGAUUAAUACCGCAUAUAGCUAUAUAGUUGCAUGAUUAUGUAGUGAAAGAUUUAUUGGUAUAGGAGGAGUCUGCGGCACAUUAGCUAGUAGGUGAGGUAAAGGCUUACCUAGGCGACGAUGUGUAGCCGGUCUGAGAGGAUGAACGGCCACAAUGGAACUGAGACACGGUCCAUACUCCUACGGGAGGCAGCAGUGGGGAAUAUUGCACAAUGGGGGAAACCCUGAUGCAGCAACGCCGCGUGAGUGAAGAAGGUUUUCGGAUUGUAAAGCUCUGUUAGCAGGGAAGAGGAAGGACGGUACCUGCAGAGGAAGCCACGGCUAACUACGUGCCAGCAGCCGCGGUAAUACGUAGGUGGCAAGCGUUGUUCGGAAUAACUGGGCGUAAAGGAUGCGUAGGCGGUUAAACAAGUUAUAUGUUAAAUAUAUAGGCUUAACCUGUAGAAAGCAUAUAAAACUGUUUAACUAGAGUGCAGGAGAGGUAAGUGGAAUUCCUAGUGUAGCGGUGAAAUGCGUAGAGAUUAGGAAGAACACCAGUGGCGAAGGCGACUUACUGGACUGUAACUGACGCUGAGGCAUGAGAGCAUGGGGAGCAAACAGGAUUAGAUACCCUGGUAGUCCAUGCUGUAAACGAUGGGUACUAGGUGUGGGUUGUGAAUAACAAUUCGUGCCGUCGCAAACGCAAUAAG